CAAGAAGAUCUUGGGCUGUCAUCCUCUAGAGGGAAGCACUUUCUGUUGUCUGAGAGAAAAGAAAGUGCUUCCUUUUAAAGGGUUACCGUUUGAGAAAAGCAACAUUGAAG
rnacentral:pre_miRNA from 2 species